GCUCCGUAGGUGAACCUGCGGAGGGAUCAUUACAGAGUUCAUGCCCUACCGGGUAGAUCUCCCACCCUAUGUUAUUAUUACUUUGUUGCUUUGGCGGGCCGUUAGGCUCCGGCCCGACUACCGGCCCCGGCUGGUAAGCGCCCGCCAGAGGACCCAAAACCCUGAAUAUUAGUGUCGUCUGAGUACUAUAUAAUAGUUAAAACUCUCAACAACGGAUCUCUUGGUUCUG
rnacentral:misc_RNA from 1 species